rnacentral:misc_RNA from 1 species
UUACAGUCUGUUCAAUAUCAUGGAA